rnacentral:rRNA from 1 species
UACGGAGGGUGCAAGCGUUAUCCGGAUUCACUGGGUUUAAAGGGUGCGUAGGCGGGCAGGUAAGUCAGUGGUGAAAUCCUUGAGCUUAACUCGAGAACUGCCAUUGAUACUAUCUGUCUUGAAUACCCUGGAGGUGAGCGGAAUAUGUCAUGUAGCGGUGAAAUACUUAGAUAUGACAUAGAACACCCAUUGCGAAGGCAGCUCACUACGGGAAUAUUGACACUGAGGCACGAAAGCGUGGGGAUCAAACAGG